AGCGAACGCUGGCGGCAGGCCUAACACAUGCAGGUCGAACGGAUCCUUCGGGACUAGUGGCGGACGGGUGAGUAACACGUGGGAACGCGCCCUUUGGUUCGGAACAACUCAGGGAAACUUGAGCUAAUACCGGAUGUGCCCUUCGGGGGAAAGAUUUAUCGCCAUUGGAGCGGCCCGCGUCUGAUUAGCUAGUUGGUGAGGUAAAGGCUCACCAAGGCGACGAUCAGUAGCUGGUCUGAGAGGAUGAUCAGCCACAUUGGGACUGAGACACGGCCCAAACUCCUACGGGAGGCAGCAGUGGGGAAUCUUGCGCAAUGGGCGAAAGCCUGACGCAGCCAUGCCGCGUGAAUGAUGAAGGUCUUAGGAUUGUAAAAUUCUUUCACCGGGGACGAUAAUGACGGUACCCGGAGAAGAAGCCCCGGCUAACUUCGUGCCAGCAGCCGCCGUAACAC
rnacentral:rRNA from 1 species